UACAGAGGUCCCAAGCGUUGUUCGGAUUCACUGGGCGUAAAGGGUGCGUAGGCGGUCGGGUAAGUUUGAUGAUGAAAUCUCCGGGCCUUAACCCCGGAAACUGCAUUGAAUACUAUUCGGCUUGAGGUCUGGAGGGGGGACUGGAAUUCUCGGUGUAGCAGUGAAAUGCGUAGAUAUCGAGAGGAACACCGGUGGCGAAGGCGGGUCUCUGGGCCGAUACUGACGCUGAGGAGCGAA
rnacentral:rRNA from 1 species